CGAUAGCCGAGUCGAUUCGAAGCGGUAGAUUCUUUAAAAUAUGCACUUUAAAUUUUCCUGGAUAAAUGCUAGAUUAAGUUAAGCAUUAAUCAUUUCUCUAAAUAUAUAUUUUUUUCAAUGUUAAAACAAUAUAACCAGCUAUAUAUCAUAUGCCAUGAGCCAUCUCUGACCUCCUAGAGUAUAUAUAUUUCGAUUAGUAUCAUCAAAACAGAGCCUGUUUCUAAUUCCGGCCCAGGAGAGCCUAAAACUUCUGCCUUCUGAUUAGUACCAACUUCUGAAUCGACGAAGCUAUGGUCGUCUGUCAGUUUCGAAGCCAUCAUGGCUCCGACUUUCUGUUGGAAGCAGAACAUAUAUUGGAACCAUCCGAACUACUAUAUUAGAAAAAUUUUAUAGGAGCGAUUAUUUAAAAAAUACACACAAUUUUUCAAAUAAAGGUCAUGGUGGACCUCUAUCAGGAAUACAUUUUUACUGCUUGAUUUUUGAACUAAUAAUAUGAACAGCUGGUAACAACCGCCUUUUGGCGAUUCUCCUUGACCAGCUUACGCCACUCCAUCCACUUGGCCAACUCGGGCUGUUCGCUGCUGCUGUAC